GGAUUACCCGCUGAACUUAAGCAUAUCAAUAAGCGGAGGAAA
rnacentral:rRNA from 1 species